rnacentral:rRNA from 1 species
UGGGGAAUAUUGCACAAUGGAGGAAACUCUGAUGCAGCGACGCCGCGUGAACGAUGAAGGCCUUCGGGUCGUAAAGUUCUGUCCUUGGGGACGAUAAUGACGGUACCCAAGGAGGAAGCCCCGGCUAACUACGUGCCAGCAGCCGCGGUAAUACGUAGGGGGCGAGCGUUGUCCGGAAUUAUUGGGCGUAAAGGGUUCGCAGGCGGUCCUUUAAGUCAGAUGUGAAAUGCAUAGGCUUAACCUAUGUUAGCAUUUGAAACUGGAGGACUUGAGUUAAGGAGAGGAAAGUGGAAUUCCUAGUGUAGCGGUGAAAUGCGUAGAUAUUAGGAGGAAUACCAGUGGCGAAGGCGACUUUCUGGACUUAUACUGACGCUGAGGAACGAAAGCGUGGGGAGCAAAC